rnacentral:precursor_RNA from 15 species
CUAUCUUCAGAUAUGCUGUGUGUGGUACCCUACUCCAGAGAGUGGCAAUCGUGUAUAAUUAAAUAUGAUUGACACCUCUGUGAGUGGAGUAAUGCAUGACAUGUACAACAUAUGUGAU